UACGAAGGGGGCUAGCGUUGCUCGGAAUGCUGGGCGUAAAGGGCGCGUAGGCGGUUUGUACAGUCAGGUGUGAAUUCCCGGCUCAACCUGGGGCUGCACUUGAUACGUAUGGACUUGAGUGAGGAAGAGGGUCGUGGAAAUUCCCAGUGUAGAGGUGAAAUGCGUAGAGAUCGGGAGGAACAUCAGUGGCGAAGGCGGCCAUCUGGGACAACACUGACGCUG
rnacentral:rRNA from 1 species